UGAGGAAUAUUGGACAAUGGGCGCAAGCCUGAUCCAGCAAUGCCGCGUGCAGGAUGAAGGCCUUCGGGUUGUAAACUGCUUUUGUACGGAACGAAACGGCUCUGUCUAAUACAUGGGGCUAAUGACGGUACCGUAAGAAGAAGCACCGGCUAACUACGUGCCAGCAGCCGCGGUAAUACGUAGGGUGCGAGCGUUAAUCGGAAUUACUGGGCGUAAAGCGUGCGCAGGCGGUGAUGUAAGACAGAUGCGAAAUCCCCGGGCUCAACCUGGGAACUGCGUUUGUGAAUGCAUCACUCGAGUACGGCAGAGGGAGGUGGAAUUCCGCGUGUAGCAGUGAAAUGCGUAGAUAUGCGGAGGAACACCGAUGGCGAAGGCAAUCCCCUGGACCUGUACUGACGCUCAUGCACGAAAGCGUGGGGAGCAAAC
rnacentral:rRNA from 1 species